rnacentral:rRNA from 1 species
CCCUUAGAUGUUCUGAACCGCACGCGUGUUACACUGAUGCAUUCAACGAGCUUAUAACCUUGGCCGAGAGGCCUGGGCAAUCUUGUUAACGUGCAUCGUGAUAGGGAUAGAUUAUUGAAAUUAUUAAUCUUGAACGAGGAAUUCCUAGUAAACGCAGAUCAUCAAUCUGCAUUGAUUACGUCCCUGCCCUUUGUACACACCGCCCGUCGCACCUACCGAUUGGAUGGUCCGGUGAAGCCUCGGGAUUGUGGUUCUUGCCGCUUUAUUGUGGCGUGACCGCGAGAACUUGUCUAAACCUUAUCAUCUAGAGGAAGGUGAAGUCGUAACA